UAUGUUCGGCCUCACCAAGAAAAAGAGGAAAGAAAGAAAGAACAAACCCUAGUGAGCACAAAUUCAAGGGAAAAUUGGUGGAUUUCAAGGAAUAAAGCAAGUAAAGGUGGUGAAACUUUCGAUAAAGGUAAGGAGAUUGUAUCGAAGACCGAGAUUAGGAGUACCUCGAUUCUCGAUAUUAUAAAGAGACAGCCGGUAACUAGGACAAGGUGUCCUCG